CCUACGGGAGGCAGCAGUGGGGAAUAUUGGACAAUGGGGGGAACCCUGAUCCAGCCAUGCCGCGUGUGUGAAGAAGGCCCUCGGGUUGUAAAGCACUUUCAGUGAGGAAGAACGCCUGGUGGUUAAUACCCAUCAGGAAAGACAUCACUCACAGAAGAAGCACCGGCUAACUCCGUGCCAGCAGCCGCGGUAAUACGGAGGGUGCGAGCGUUAAUCGGAAUUACUGGGCGUACAGCGCGCGUAGGUGGCUUGAUAAGCCGGUUGUGAAAGCCCCGGGCUCAACCUGGGAACGGCAUCCGGAACUGUCAAGCUAGAGUGCAGGAGAGGAAGGUAGAAUUCCCGGUGUAGCGGUGAAAUGCGUAGAGAUCGGGAGGAAUACCAGUGGCGAAGGCGGCCUUCUGGACUGACACUGACACUGAGGUGCGAAAGCGUGGGUAGCAAACAGGAUUAGAUACCCUUGUAGUC
rnacentral:rRNA from 1 species